GGCCUGCUAGUUCAAUGGUAGAAUGCUUGACUACGACUGUCUCUCUUCGAGAGUAUAUUGUUACAUCAAGAGGCUGUAGGUUCGAGCCCUACGUAGGUCA